rnacentral:snRNA from 1 species
GUACUUACCUGGCAGGGGAGAUACCAUGAUCAUGAAGUUGGUUUUCCCAGGACGAGGCUUAUCCAUUGCACUCCGGAUGUGCUGACUUCUGUGAUUUCCCCAAAUGUGGGAAACACAACUGCAUAAUUUGUGGUAGUGGGGGACUGUGUUCGCGCUUUCCCCUG